UCGGAUUCAAUUCCAGUCAAGGACACAUACCUUGGUUGCAAGCUCAAUCCCCAGGCCUGGUUGGGGUGCCUGUAGGAGGCAAGCAGUCCAUGUGUCUCUCUCACAUUGAUGUUUCUCUCUCUCACUUAUAUUUCUCUCUCUC